rnacentral:rRNA from 1 species
UACGUAGGGGGCAAGCGUUGUCCGGAUUUAUUGGGCGUAAAGAGCGUGUAGGCGGCCUGACAGGUCUGCUGUGAAAACUCAAGGCUCAACCUCGAGAUGUCGGCGGAAACCGUCUGGCUAGAGUCCGGAAGAGGAGAGUGGAAUUCCUGGUGUAGCGGUGAAAUGCGCAGAUAUCAGGAAGAACACCUAUGGCGAAGGCAGCUCUCUGGGACGGUACUGACGCUGAGACGCGAAAGCGUGGGGAGCGAACAGG